GUUUACGUCGGUGAAGAAUUAAUAUAGAACAUUUGUUUUAUUCUGCCACUUGGUUGAAUUAAAUGGCGUGAUCUAAUACUGACAUUUCCUCUUAUAAGAGUUCUGCCUGUUCCCAAGACAGAGAAAGAGGAGAAAUAUGGGUUCCCGGAGCGAGUGCUAUGAACUUCGUCAGGUGCUGCAGCAGGAGGAACUGGCAACACUGGCCGUUAAGAUUAAAACCGAUUUGCCCUACUCUGCCUCUAUGCACAACAAUCUUCUGAUUGCCAGCAGAGGUCACAACGAAGGCUUCCAGUUCAAAUUUUACGUGCCGAAUACUUAUCCAGACUCUCACAUCGUCAUUUGGAGCAGGACAACUGAUGUGUCUUGGUCUCUCAGCAUGCACUGCUCGGAGGGAGAGGUCCCCUUGCUGCUUAGGCUGGUGAAGGCUACGGGCUUUGCGUCCCUGGUGAAGGAGAAACCUUUGUGUCUGUGCCAUCUGUCGAGUUACCUGGUGGAUCCCGUGACCGGGGCGCUUCAACAGAUUCUCCGAAGACCCUUCGGGAAAUAUCCGAAUCCUACCUUCACGUACCUCAGGCAACAGACUUAU